CGGGCACCAGGGCCCGGCAGGAGGCGUAGCCGUAGACGUCCUUGCUGCGCAGGAUGUGCGGCGAGAACUGGUGCUUGAGGCUGCAGAGGAAGCUCCAGAGCUCCGCGUCCGAGCUCAUGAACUCCGUGCUGCGGGGCACCAGCAGCUUGAAGGCGUCGCCCAGCGUCUCGGUGCUGUCGGCCAGCGACAGUUGCGACCGCGAGUACACCACCUUCUCCUCCCGCGCCUCGGGCUCGGCCCCUCCUCCGGCCCGGAGGCCGCCGCCCCGGGCGGCCGNNNNNNNNNNNNNNNNNNNNNNNNNNNNNNNNNNNNNNNNNNNNNNNNNNNNNNNNNNNNNNNNNNNNNNNUCCGCCCUCCCGCCCGCGUCCGGCUCCGCGGCGGCCGCCGCUGCUGGCGCCUCCGGGCCGGCGCCGCUCUCGCUACUUUUCUCGCCUCGGCCGCCGCCCCUCCCCCUCCGAGGGCGGAAGACGCGGGCGAAUAUCCUGCCGCCCGGGGGAAGCAGGGCCGCUCUGCCUGGACACUACCCACUCGUUGCUCCAGCUGAUGAGAGAUCAACCACGGCACAGCCGUUCUCCUUGACGGAAACAGCCCUGGUUUUAUGAAUGAGUCGUUCUGCCUAAAUGACUGCGCUCCACUUUCUUCACUGAAGUUGUAGCAUGUGCCUCUGCAGCACCCCCUCUCUCAUCUAGGAAAGCUGCAGCGUCACAAUCUAUAACGUUCUCCUGGUGAUGAGUGCGUUGUUAAGGACACAUUCCCUUCUGCGUUUGAGGGGAGGAGGGCUGGGAAAGUAGGGCUAGUUUCUUCCAGUUCCUAGGACUGUCCUGAGACACUAUAAAGUUUAUGGAAAGUUCUCAGAUUUUUCUCCUUAAGGGGUGGCUGCCUAACAUCCUAAGUUUUGCUCCUUUACUUCUCGUGGGGAAUGAUGCUUCCUACAUCAGAUAACCAAGGGAUGGAUAAUGAGAAUGUUUAUAGGGCAGUGGUCCAUUCCCUGGUCCUUCUCUCUCUCUCUCUCUCUCUCUCUCUCUCUCUCCUGACUGGCACUCCAGUGGGCACUCCGUGUUUGCUAAGUCCAUCAGUGAAAUCCUGCGGAUUACUUGCGAUGGGGUGAGAAAGAGGGAUAUGGUGAAAUGGCUUAGAACAGCACAAUUUUAUAUUUUGCAUUUAUGAUGCAACUUUCUCCUAACUCCCUUACAUUGUUAAGGUGGAUCUCAAUACUUAGAACUUUGACGUAAGCAUGCAGAUUUUACCCCUCAGUGAGCAUCUUGCUUUGCAGUUCAAGACUGAUAAAGCAACAGAAGUUUUCUGAUUUGCAUAUAGUUGCUAAUAGUCCCCCUCCAAUAUUUGAGCUGAAAGACACCAAGUUCAGUCUCCUUAUUUCACAGAUGAGGAAAUCUGGACCCACGGAGGCUCACUAAUAGGGCUUGUUGAUAGCACCACCGGGACUCCUGUUUAUUGGAUUCCUAACCCAGAGGUCUUUAUAUUUCACCGGAGGCUUCUGGGCUGCCUAGACUCGGAGGUUCAGCAGAAAAUGCAUAAUGCAUGAGACGUGACCAAUGGACAGAGCUGCACCCCUAUUUCUACUUCAACUCUCCCCAAAAUGGAGCAGUUUUGAUCGGUGUUGUAUUGGAAUGAACAGAUAUUUUGUUUGAACGAGGUUUUAAUAAAAACUAAACCAAAACUAUUCUGAAAGUUGUU
ensembl:lncRNA